UAGGGAAUCUUCCGCAAUGGACGCAAGUCUGACGGAGCAACGCCGCGUGAGUGAAGAAGGAUUUCGGUUCGUAAAACUCUGUUGUUAGAGAAGAACAGCGCAUAGAGUAACUGUUAUGCGUGUGACGGUAUCUAACCAGAAAGCCACGGCUAACUACGUGCCAGCAGCCGCGGUAAUACGUAGGUGGCAAGCGUUGUCCGGAUUUAUUGGGCGUAAAGCGAGCGCAGGCGGUCAAUUAAGUCUGAUGUGAAAGCCCCCGGCUCAACCGGGGAGGGUCAUUGGAAACUGGUUGACUUGAGUGCAGAAGAGGAGAGUGGAAUUCCAUGUGAAACGGUGAAAUGCGUGGAUAUAUGGAGGAACACCAGUGGCGAGGGCGACUCUCUGGUCUGUAACUGACGCUGGGGCUCGAAAGCGUGGGUAGCAAACAGG
rnacentral:rRNA from 1 species